AGUCUGCAACUCGACUACAUGAAGCUGGAAUCGCUAGUAAUCGCGGACCAGAAUGCCGCGGUGAAUACGUUCCCGGGUCUUGUACACACCGCCCGUCACACCAUGGGAGUCGGAAAUGCCCGAAGUCUGUGACCCAACCGUAAGGAGGGAGCAGCCGAAGGCAGGUCGGAUGACUGGGGUGAAGUCGUAACAAGGUAAC
rnacentral:rRNA from 1 species